rnacentral:lncRNA from 1 species
UUUGAAAUUGAUUUGAGUGACAAUUGUAAUUUAUUUCAUGCAUAAUAAUUUAUACUUUUAAAGGUAAAUCUAUCCAUAUGAACUCGGGUCAGCCUUGUUUUGCUAGUUCUAAAUCACACUUUUAAAUAUAUAAAAUAAUUGAUAAAAAAUAAUUCAUCAACGACCAUGAAAAAAAUAAUCCAACAUCCAUAAAAAAAAUCCAACGACAUCCGCAUAACAAUCCACCAAAACACCUCCCUAAACAUUAUGUUCGGUCUCAUCAUCUUCAUUUCCAUCGUCUCCAUACAUUGGCCUACUUUCCCA